rnacentral:rRNA from 1 species
UACGAAGGGGGCUAGCGUUGCUCGGAAUCACUGGGCGAAAAGGGUGCGUAGGCGGGUCUUUAAGUCAGGGGUGAAAUCCUGGAGCUCAACUCCAGAACUGCCUUUGAUACUGAAGAUCUUGAGUUCGGAGAGGUGAGUGGAACUGCGAGUGUAGAGGUGAAAUUCGUAGAUAUUCGCAAGAACACCAGUGGCGAAGGCGGCUCACUGGCCCGGUACUGACGCUGAGGUGCGAAAGCGUGGGGAGCAAACAGG